AUAAACACAAUGAUAAGCCUGUAUUAGAUAGAAAGUGAGAAUUAAAG
rnacentral:guide_RNA from 1 species